rnacentral:rRNA from 1 species
UGAACGCUGGCGGUAUGCUUAACACAUGCAAGUCGAACGAUGUUUUAGGACAUAGUGGCGGACGGGUGAGUAACGCGUAAGAAUCUACCUUCAGGUCGGGGACAACCACUGGAAACGGUGGCUAAUACCGGAUGUGCCGAGAGGUGAAAGGCUUGCUGCCUGGGGAAGAGCUUGCGUCUGAUUAGCUAGUUGGUAGUGUAAGGGACUACCAAGGCGACGAUCAGUAGCUGGUCUGAGAGGAUGAUCAGCCACACUGGGACUGAGACACGGCCCAGACUCCUACGGGAGGCAGCAGUGGGGAAUUUUUCCGCAAUGGGCGAAAGCCUGACGGAGCAAUACCGCGUGAGGGAGGAAGGCUCUUGGGUCGUAAAACCGUCUUUUUCUCAGGGAAGAAGUUCUGACGGUACCUGAGGAAGAAGCAUCGGCUAACUCCGUGCCAGCAG